UGGGCAACCUGCCCCUAGCUCUGGGAUAACUCCGGGAAACCGGGGCUAAUACCGGAUAUGACUCCUCAUCGCAUGGUGGGGGGUGGAAAGCUUUAUUGUGGUUUUGGAUGGACUCGCGGCCUAUCAGCUUGUUGGUGAGGUAAUGGCUCACCAAGGCGACGACGGGUAGCCGGCCUGAGAGGGUGACCGGCCACACUGGGACUGAGACACGGCCCAGACUCCUACGGGAGGCAG
rnacentral:rRNA from 1 species